AUCAGUAGUAUUUUGAAUUCCCUUCUUUUUAAUACCUACUUCGCAGAAAUAAUAUCGAGUCUCGUAUCCUCUUGAGUUCCGCUGGUGUAAUACAAUGCCUAAAAUAUGUUGUGUCCCUGGGUGUAAAACAAGAUAUAAUAAUGAAGGGAAGGAUCCAGGGGUUAUUCAGUAAUAAGUUAUUCUUCAUGUAUUCACGAAGAAAGAAGAUAUUCGUCAUGAAUGGACUCAAGCAAUUCCACGGUCUAGUUGAAAGCCAAGUCACAUGAGAGAGUUUGCUAAAUUCAUUUCAAUCCCUCUAACUAUGAAGUUACUUCUCAGGGACCAAUACGAGGCGGAAAAAUUAUUUCUACCGUCGACUCCAAGAAAGACUGAAAUCCGAUGCGAUACCAUCCAAUUUUUCAGGAAGAAGAAUCCGUCAUGUUCUACGCCCUUGCGAUUGUCCCUUCUCCUCAUUUGAAAUGGAAGUCCUCUGGUUAUAAGACAUUUUUCUGAGUUGGCUCUACGGGCUAUCAUUACAUCAACGAGUCAGUUAUGCAAUUUGAUCUCCAAGACUAAAUCACUAUGUUGGAAACAGAUAUGAUUGAUAUUGAUCCAUCAUUGAGAAUUCCAUUGACUUAUUGACUGAAGGUUAUUGUGGAAAAUAUCGAUAGCAGAUUCCAUCGUUACUUUUUUUGGCUGAGCAGAUUGAAUUUUGUAAAUUCAAAAGAGAACAUAGGAAAUACUCCCAAAGCACGCUUGCAAUGGCUCUUAUUUGGAAAAUGCCAUCAACAUCUUUGUACAAACUUAUAUAGAGCGAAAUUAAUCUAUUCAAUGGUUAACAAAGCUCUCAAGCUGCUUUUCAGUCGAUACAGGACUUAGUCAUCAAACCGUCAAAUAUGAGAACAAAGUCAAUAAUCUCAACGAUUGAGAAAAAAUUGUAACCAUUAUUAUGGAUGAAAUAUAUGGGCCAAAAGUUUUUGAGUAUACAGGAGGGGAAUUUGACGGCAUUGAACAAGGAGGGGAUACAACAACCCAGACUUUAGCUUGUGUGAUGAUCAAGAGCUUAAGUAACAAAUAUGAAGACACUAUUGCAAUGGUACCUUUGACAAAAUUAGAUUGUAAAAU
rnacentral:lncRNA from 1 species